rnacentral:lncRNA from 1 species
UUGAGUACAUCUCACUCAAAUCUCGAUCAAUUGCCAGCAAGGUCAUUCAAUUUCUCUUGGAUUUUGUCGAGCUCUUCUCGGCACUGUCGAUUUCUUGCUGGAUAUGAGGUAAGAACCUCUAGAGUUUCUUCUCUUUCCUUUUGUUAACCUUCGAAAAUUCUUGAUAGUUGGAUUGAGCCAUCGAUUGUCAGAUUUUAUAGGAGAUCGAGUUUUUUCCUAUUUUAUUCUUCUUCUUUUCUUCCACUAGAAAGGCCACCAUCAUCGGACGUGGCCUUGCCUGGUUGUUGAGGGUUGGAACCACCCCAUUAGAGCUAUUGGGAGUUACUGUCAUUGAGGGUCGCGACCAUGAAGAUGGUUGGCCCUAGCUUUCCUUUUCCCC